AGUCGAGCGGAAACGAGUUAUCUGAACCUUCGGGGAAUGAUAACGGCGUCGAGCGGCGGACGGGUGAGUAAUGCCUAGGAAAUUGCCCUGAUGUGGGGGAUAACCAUUGGAAACGAUGGCUAAUACCGCAUAAUACCUACGGGUCAAAGAGGGGGACCUUCGGGCCUCUCGCGUCAGGAUAUGCCUAGGUGGGAUUAGCUAGUUGGUGAGGUAAUGGCUCACCAAGGCGACGAUCCCUAGCUGGUCUGAGAGGAUGAUCAGCCACACUGGAACUGAGACACGGUCCAGACUCCUACGGGAGGCAGCAGUGGGGAAUAUUGCACAAUGGGCGCAAGCCUGAUGCAGCCAUGCCGCGUGUGUGAAGAAGGCCUUCGGGUUGUAAAGCACUUUCAGUCGUGAGGAAGGUAGUGUAGUUAAUAGCUGCAUUAUUUGACGUUAGCGACAGAAGAAGCACCGGCUAACUCCGUGCCAGCAGCCGCGGUAAUACGGAGGGUGCGAGCGUUAAUCGGAAUUACUGGGCGUAAAGCGCAUGCAGGUGGUUUGUUAAGUCAGAUGUGAAAGCCCGGGGCUCAACCUCGGAAUAGCAUUUGAAACUGGCAGACUAGAGUACUGUAGAGGGGGGUAGAAUUUCAGGUGUAGCGGUGAAAUGCGUAGAGAUCUGA
rnacentral:rRNA from 1 species